GACGAACGCUGGCGGCGUGCCUAAUACAUGCAAGUAGAACGCUGAAGGAGGAGCUUGCUUCUCUGGAUGAGUUGCGAACGGGUGAGUAACGCGUAGGUAACCUGCCUGGUAGCGGGGGAUAACUAUUGGAAACGAUAGCUAAUACCGCAUAAUAGUAGAUGUUGCAUGACAUUUACUUAAAAGGUGCAAUUGCAUCACUACCAGAUGGACCUGCGUUGUAUUAGCUAGUUGGUGGGGUAACGGCUCACCAAGGCGACGAUACAUAGCCGACCUGAGAGGGGGAGCGGCCACACUGGGACGGGGACACGGCCCAGACUCCUACGGGAGGCAGCAGUAGGGAAUCUUCGGCAAUGGACGAAAGUCUGACCGAGCAACGCCGCGUGAGUGAAGAAGGUUUUCGGAUCGUAAAGCUCUGUUGUAAGAGAAGAACGAGUGUGAGAGUGGAAAGUUCACACUGUGACGGUAUCUUACCAGAAAGGGACGGCUAACUACGUG
rnacentral:rRNA from 1 species